GGGGGCCGUUACACUGUAAGAGAUUGAGUAGCAGAUCUCACAGUGAACCGGUCUCUUU
rnacentral:pre_miRNA from 1 species